UCCGUUUGGUGCAGAUUCUGAAGCAGGUGGAGGUGGAGAAAUGGGAGGGACAUCACACGAGCCAAAUGUAGCAUUUUCCUGAACAUAUUAAUUCACAGUUAAAUACAAUAAGAUAGAUCGAGCAAAUGGAGCUUGUCUAUGUCCUAUCUAAAUAUAGUUUUUUUGUACUCGGUAAUUCUAAAAAUUAGCCAAAUUCUGCGAUCAAUCGUGAUGUUUUUGUGUGCA